GACCCCUUAGCUCAGCGGUAGAGUGUGUGAUUCCAGUUCAUAUUGGCUACAGCGCGCUUCAAGGUGUGCCGUAGCCAAUGUGGUACAUCCACAAGGCCAUCUGUUCGAAUCAGGUAGGGGUCA